rnacentral:ncRNA from 1 species
UAAAAGAGGUCGCAACCGACAUUAGUAAAUGAGGGAGUCACUGUAAUGACUAUGAACUCAUCGAAAGGGGAAGUUGCCGAAGUGUUGGAUCUUACAGGAUCUGAUGAACUGGGGCGUAUUAAUAAGAGAAUACGAACUGUCGUGAUCUAAUGUCACGGUGAGCUU